UCGAAAACCUGCCAAGCAGAAAACCCGUGGACUUGUACAUACUCCCGGGGAGGAUGUGCGGGUCGUGGCCUCGUUGCCUCGCCUUCCAUUUUCCCCCUGCGAGCAGAUGCGCGCGGGUCUUUCGGGCAACGCGUUUCGUCUGCUCGUCAAACAACGAACCCCGGCGCAAAACGCGCCAAGGAAAAAUUGAACAAAGAGCGCACAUCCCUGCCCGUUUUUCGGGUGGUGUCGGCGUACGCAAUCUUUCAUGUAACCAAACGACUCUCGGCAACGGAUAUCUCGGCUCUUGCAUCGAUGAAGAACGUAGCGAAAUGCGAUACUUGGUGUGAAUUGCAGAAUCCCGUGAACCAUCGAGUCUUUGAACGCAAGUUGCGCCUGAAGCCAUUAGGUUGAAGGCACGUCUGCCUGGGCGUCACGCAUUGCGUCACCCACUCCCCCGUGCCUGAGCGGGCAUGUCGGUGCGUGGGCGGAUAUUGGCCCCCCGUKCACAUUCGUGCUCGGUCGGCCUAAAAAGCGGGUCCCCAAUGACGGACAUCACGACGAGUGGUGGUUGCCAAACCGUCGCGUCGCGUCGUGCGUGUUUGUUGCGGGUUGGCCCAUCGACCCCGAAGUGCCRCGGCACCUCA
rnacentral:rRNA from 1 species